rnacentral:rRNA from 1 species
UGGGGAAUAUUGGACAAUGGGCGAAAGCCUGAUCCAGCCAUGCCGCGUGUGUGAAGAAGGCCUUCGGGUCGUAAAGCACUUUAAGUUGGGAGGUUGGGCUCAUAGCGAAUACCUGUGAGUUUUGACGUUACCAACAGAGUAAGCACCGGCUAACAUCGUG